rnacentral:lncRNA from 1 species
AUCAGUAUACCAGACAAACCAACAGUAAACAGCAAAAGUUAAUCUGUACAGUCAAACACAAGUUAAUGCACACAAGUGCAAGCCAUGAGCUCAAACUCAAGCAUCAAACCCUACAACACAAAGUCAAUGUUAAUCAUAAACAAUUCACAAGUCAACUUAAUUAACUUGCAUUUUUCUCCUUAAGCCAUUUGCAUCUCAACCUGAAAAUCCAAACCAAACAUGAGAAACAAGACCACUAGGCCAAGCCUAGGGUCCAAAGGAGAUGAAAAAAUC